rnacentral:rRNA from 1 species
UACGUAGGGUGCAAGCGUUGUCCGGAAUUAUUGGGCGUAAAGAGCUCGUAGGCGGCUUGUCGCGUCGACUGUGAAAACCCGGGGCUCAACCCCGGGCCUGCAGUCGAUACGGGCAAGCUUGAGUGCGGUAGGGGAGACUGGAAUUCCUGGUGUAGCGGUGAAAUGCGCAGAUAUCAGGAAGAACACCAAUGGCGAAAGCAGCUCUCUGGGACGGUACUGACGCUGAGACGCGAAAGCGUGGGGAGCGAACAGG